rnacentral:rRNA from 1 species
CGGCAGGCCUAAUACAUGCAAGUCGAGCGGGUCCUUCGGGACUAGCGGCGGACGGGUGAGUAACGCGUGGGAACGUGCCCUUUGGUACGGAACAACUGAGGGAAACUUCAGCUAAUACCGUAUGUGCCCUUCGGGGGAAAGAUUUAUCGCCAUUGGAGCGGCCCGCGUUGGAUUAGGUAGUUGGUGAGGUAAAGGCUCACCAAGCCUACGAUCCAUAGCUGGUCUGAGAGGAUGACCAGCCACACUGGGACUGAGACACGGCCCAGACUCCUACGGGAGGCAGCAGUAGGGAAUCUUGCGCAAUGGGCGAAAGCCUGACGCAGCCAUGCCGCGUGAAUGAUGAAGGUCUUAGGAUUGUAAAAUUCUUUCACCGGGGACGAUAAUGACGGUACCCGGAGAAGAAGCCCCGG